UUCUUUCGAUGGUUCCGGUAUGGACUACCAUGGCAUUAACGGGUAACGGAGAAUUAGGGUUCGAUUCCGGAGAGGGAGCCUGAGAAAUGGCUACCACAUCCAAGGAAGGCAGCAGGCGCGUAAUGCCAUGGUAGCCCAUAUCACUGACAUCGAAGGGAGGUAGUGACAAUAAAUAACAAUGUCGGGCUUUUCUAAGUCUGACAAUUGGAAUGAGAACAAUUUAAAUCCCUUAUCGAGGAUCAAUUGGAGGGCAAGUCUGGUGCCAGCAGCCGCGGUAAUUCCAGCUCCAAUAGCGUAUACUAAAGUUGUUGCAGUUAAAAAGCUCGUAGUUGAAUUUCUGGUCUCGAGACGCGGCCAGCCUCAAGGGGCGAUGCUGUGGAUCGGGACCAUCCUCGAGGAGAACAUAUCUGUCAUUGAGUUGAUGGGUAUGGGACCCUCGUCAUUUACUGUGAGCAAAAUAGAGUGUUCAAAGCAGGCUUACGCCGUUGAAUACAUUAGCAUGGAAUAAUAAGAUAGGACCUUGGUCUAUUUUGUUGGUUAUACUCCGAGGUAAUGAUUAAUAGGGACAGUUGGGGGUAUUCGUAUUCAAUUGUCAGAGGUGAAAUUCUUGGAUUUAUGGAAGACGAACUACUGCGAAAGCAUUUACCAAGGAUGGUUUUCAUUAAUCAAGAACGAAAGUUAGGGGAUCGAAGAUGAUUAGAUACCAUCGUAGUCCUUAACCAUAAACUAUGCCGACUAGGGAUUGGUGGGUGUUAUUAGCGACUCCAUCAGCACCUUAUGAGAAAUCAAAGUCUUUGGGUUCCGGGGGGAGUAUGGUCGCCAGGCUGAAACUUAAAGAAAUGACGGAAGGGCACCCCCAGGAGUGGAGCCUGCGGCUUAAUUUGCUCACCCGGGGAAACUUACCAGGUCCAGACAUAGUGAGGUUGACAAAUGAGACUCCUUCUGAAUUCUAGGGGGGGGGCGAGGCCUUUCUAUGGGGAGGUUUUCUGUUUAUCCUUAAAAAACCCCCCGGAAAGCCCUUAGCCAAUUGGGGCCUUAAGGGGCUUCGGAUACCAGAAUGGGCAAA
rnacentral:rRNA from 1 species